CAUUUAUUAUAGUAUAGUCUAUUUUAACAUACUGUCUAUAAUUUGUCAUGUGCAGGCAAUCCAAAUAUUUUAAUCCUAAAGACAUAAGACAACAAAUAAGCUGGUUUUACAUUGGAUAUUCGGUGAUCUCCACGUCUUUUUGUUUAACAUUUUGAUUAAUACUGUUGUCUUCUGGCUUUCAAUUUUCAAUAGCUCUUACACAAAGCAUGCCAUGACUAUGGAAAUUAUAUAUUCUGAAUCAGGGGAGGAUGGACAAAAACCCACGCCUUCAAAAUGUUUUAAAUAAUGUAAUGUUCCUUAGCAAGAAAACCAAUUAAUGUCGCUCAAAUUUUUAUUUUUUUUUAUUUUAAAUUUUACCUUUAUUUAACCAGGCAAGUCAGUUAAGAACACAUUCUUAUUUUCAAUGACGGCCUGGGAACAGUGGGUUAACUGCCUGUUCAGGGGCAGAACGACAGAUUUGUUUGUACCUUGUCAGCUCGGGGGUUUGAACUCGCAACCUUCCGGUUACUAGUCCAACGCUAGUCCAACGCUCUAACCACUAGGCUACGCUGACAACAACCAAAACGAAACAGGUGGGGUUUUGUGAUUCUGUCUUUCAUCAUUUACGGAACUGUUGUCUGUUUGUCUCUUCGACCAACUUGUAAACCUGAAAGAUAGCAGCUUUAACAGUGUCCUAGUCUGAACUCUGGUCAAGCAAUAAAGCGGUGUACACUUUGAGCUUUUCCCAUAAGAACACAUGAGGAGCAGUGAUCAAAUAUCUCACUGCCAUUUUAGGGAUGUGGCAAUCCACUCAAACAGAGUGAAAUAUGCAUCCUCCUCGUUGUUGUUAAAAGGGUGUACAAGCCGGCUGUUCCGAUCAGGAUAGCCUGACAGGAUUCGGAGCGCUUGCAUAUCAAUUUCUAUUAAUCGAAUGGCAUGCACGUUCUCAUUCUUGUUGGACUGCACAUUCAUCUUGUCUUCCCUAUGCUCCAACUCUAUUUUCUGUUGUCCAAGCUCUAAUUUUUGUUGCACCAACUUUGCCUUCAGUUUUAACUCCCUUAUUUGCACGUCUACGGGAUGUUCUCUACUAGCUGCAGUGCCCUUUUCAUCAGCCUCACUCAACGAGAGGAUUUCCUCUUCCACCAAAAUAGUACCAAUCAACUCUGGCUACUGCUUUUGGAUCGCCAGAUGCCACUUUGAUGUCAUAAUGCUUUGCGAUGAGCAGAGUCACCUAUGUGCAUUCAUCUAGCAUCUCCCAUGUAUGGUUUUCCACAAAUGCUUCCAACUUAAAGUCCAUGUCUUUAUUUGUAUUUUAUUAGCCUGUGUGUUUAUGUAAUUUUCAAAAUGAUUCCACCAAUCAUAUAACCCCUCAAGGUGGAUGUCAGUGACAGAAACUCUACUACAAAAGUGUAAUUUGAACACUCAGAUAUCUGGGCACAGCAGAGCUUCAAAGUAGGUGACUAGCGUGACUACCAUACUCAUGGGAAACAAUGUCCCACAUAAGCCCCCCCAUUUUGUUACAUUCCCCAACAAGAAAACCAAUGAUGUUGAUCAAACAGAAGGGAGAACUAAAAAAAAAUCACUGAUACAACAACCAAAAUUAAACGGAUGGGAGUUUAGGAGGGGUCCUGACACAUACUCAUGGGGGUGUCCACUGAAAGUUGACUAGCAACAACAACUGGAACCUAAAAGACACAAAGCGAACCAAAAAUGUGUGCAAAACAACAACAGGGAAGAUCAGACAAAGGAAUAUUUUCUCUAGAACUCAAGUAGGGCACGCCAACUACAGGUGUUGAUGUUCCACAUCUCCCAAGACAACUGGAGUACUGGACCAGCCACUCUUAAAUAACACCUGGGCCAGCACAGGUGAAACACCUUCCCAAUAACGAGAUGGCAACCAGCACAGGUGUAACGCAUGCUGACUAACAAGGUAACUCCAAAUCGGUGAGCCCAACUGUACGUGCUAAAGUGCUAAAAGUCCAACCACAAAACAUAAAUGGAAAAACCAAAACCUGUAACAGUAAACAAAUAAACAAAAUAUUAAGGCUUUAAAUCUUUAAUAGGUCUUACACAAAGUGUGCCAUGAUUAUGAAAAUGAGACAUUCUGAAUCAGGAGAGGAUGGACAAAAAUCCACUGCUCAUUUUGUGUUGACAUGUUGAAGAAAAGAUUUAAAGCCGUAAGAAUUGUUUAAAUAGCUCCUACACAAAGCAUGCCAUGACUAUGAAAAUUAUAUAUUGUGAAUCGGGAGGAUGGACUAAAAUCCAAAGCUUUUAAAACAUUUUUGUUGUUGUUGAGAUAAACAAGUAUUAGGUCUUUAAAUCUUCAAUAGCCCUUACACAAGGCAUGCCAUGACUAUGCAAAUUAUAUAUUCUGAAUCAGGGUAGGAUGAACCAAAAUCCACAACUUUUUUCUUCAUUUUUUUUGUUAACAUUUUGAAGAAAAACAUUUAUUCCGGCUUUAAUCUCCAAUAGCUCUUACACAAAGCUUGCUAUUACUAUGAAAAUUAUAUAUUCGGAAUCAGGGGAGGAUGGACAAAAAUUCACAACUCUUUAGCCCCCAAAAAUCUGGUGAAAAAAGUAUACUCAGGCUUUAAAUCUUCAAAAGCUCUUACACAAAGCAUGCCGCGACUAUGCAAAUAAUACUGUAUUUUCGGAAUCAGAGGAGGAUGGACAAAAAUCCACUGUUUUCUUUAUUUUUGUAUUAUUUAUUAAAAAGCUAGGGUGGGAUAGGGCGGUACCCAUAGAAUGAAGAAUGACAAGUGCUUCCAAAAUAACAUGUGAUCGUUUUGUCAAACAUUCUGAAACAAAACAUAAAGAUAAAAAAGUGGUUAGAAUUGGAUUCAUCCUGAUAUGUGUUGGUUCCAUUUAAAUCAGUGUUUUCUGGCCACUAUUUGGGUUUAAAAUCCUCUUUUAUUUUUGUAAUUACAUAUUUAUUUUGUAUUUUUUACCACUGCUCUAUCCUUUAUAUUUGAUUGCUAUUCUGUGGGCUUAAGAUUUACAAAUAUAUAUAUUCACAGUGAAUGGACCAUAAUUUGUGGAUAACUUUGGAUAGCUGCAUGCAUCUUUCAAAUGCAUGUGAAUGGAAUAAAGAGUUGUCACAAUAAUAAAGAAAGUACAUUUUCUACUUCAACCCGAGGUUCUCGCCAGCCAUCUUGCAUUUCCUGAUCAUUAUAAUUCCUUCCAUCUGGAUUUUGGAACUACAUCAUCAGGAAAACAAAUCUAGUGGCCCUCAGGUACAGGAAACAGAGAUGGAGAGAAGUCAGCUCCAUGUUCAAUGCAUGCACGAAAGUUAUGAAACAUUUACUUACAACUUCACUUGUCACAUCUAAUUUCAGUGUAGGAAAAUUAACUCGUGGGAAAAUGUGGGAAGCAUGAUUUCUCUGAACAAAACUGUGGGGAAUUUAACUGUUCAAACUUAUUUAAACUGGAACUAGUUUUAGUUUCUAGACUAUUCUACCUUUCACUUUUCUUAAAUCUACUGUAACUAGGACCCUUGACCCUUAAUCCAUAAAUUAACAUUCAGGAGACACAAAUUCACAUGGCCUAUCUACACAGAUGUUGAUGUAUUCACAAAUUCACAGUCAACAACAGGGUCACAUCUAAGUACUUUCCAUUAUUAACAUACACAUAGUGUACCAAACAUUAAGAACAUCCCCUUUUGCCCCCAGAACAGUCUCAAUUCGUCGGGGCAUGGACUCUACAAGGCGUCGAAAGUGUUCCACAGGGAUGCUGGCCCAUGUUGACUCCAAUGCUUCUCACAGUUGUGUCAAGCUGGCUAUGUGUCCUUUGGGUGUUGGAACAUUCUUGAUACACACGGGAAACGGUUGAGCGUGAAAAACCCAGCAGAUCUGCAGUUCUUGACACAAACCGGUGUGCCUGGCACCUACAACUAUACCCCAUUCAAAGGCACUUAAAUAUUUGUCUUGCCCAUUCACCCUCUGAAUGACACAUAUACAUAAUCCACGUUUCAAUUGUCUCAAGGCUUAAAAUUCCUUAUUUAACCUGUCUCCUCUUCAUCUACACUGAUUCAAGUGAAUUUAACAAGUGACAUCAAUAAGGGAUCAUAGUUUUCACCUGGUCAGUCUAUAGCUGUGUUUGAAUACUCAUACUAACCGCACUGACCAUACUAUUUGUGACGUAAAUUGAGUAUAUAGUAUUCUUAUUGGUCAUAGUAUGGAUAUAGUUAAUAUGCCAGCAGUUCCUGGAUGUCGUACUACAUUCGCCAAAAUACGAAGUAUACAAGCAGUGGACACUAGGGUCCAUAAUGCAAUUCUUCAGAAAAUGGGGAUGGCUUCACAUUGUUUUCAGAUUUGAAGAAAAUGGCAGAAAAUAUGCAGCCGAAGUCCAACAAGAGUGGAUACAAAUGCAUUGCUUUCUAAUUAUGACAAAUGCUAAGAAAAUGUUGAGCAAUGUAAUAAGGCUCUUUAUCAACUCGUCCACGGUUUGUCUCAUCGACUGGAUCCUGGCCCUCCAUCAGGUCCUGCUUAUCCCUCUCAUCAUAGGGAAGUGGCUCCUCCCACUGGGGAGCGGGGUCAUGUGGGACAAACUUUUCCAGCUCCUGCUAAUCUUCGUUGGCACUGCAGCUGACAUCUUGGAGUUCACCAGUGAAACGCUAUCUGAUAUCAAGUUUUCGUGCACACAAUUUUUUUAGAGCAUACUACAAGAAGUAUAAUGACAUGAAUAUCUUGUCUGUAUUAUGUACAGUUCACAGAUCAUACAGGAGGCAUGUGCAGUGAAUUCGGAAAGUAUUCAGACACUUCUUGUUUUCCACGUUACGUUACAGCCUUAUUCUAAAAUGGAUUAGAUACAUUUUUUACCUCAUCCAUCUAAAUAAAUACCCCAUAGUGACGUCGCAAAACAUUUUUGCUAAUUUAUUAAAAAUCAAAAACAGAAAUUCCUUAUUUACAUAAGUAUUCAGAUGCUUUGCUAUGAAACUCAAAAUUGAGCUCAGGUGCAUCCUGUUUCCAUUGAUCACCCUUGAGAUGUUUCUAAUUUACAACUUGAUGUUUCUUCAAUUGUGGUAAAUUCAAUUGAAAGGGCAUGAUGUGGAAAGGCACACAACUGUCUAUAUAAGGUCCCACAGUUUACAGUGCAUGUCAGACCAAAAACCAAGCCAUGAGGUCAGAAUAAUUGUUUGUAGAGCGUCAAGACAGGACUGUGUCACAGUGUCCUCUUAAAUGGAAGAAGUUUGGAACCACCAACUCUUUCUAGAGCUGACUGCCUGGCCAAACUCAGCAAUUGGGGGAGAAGGGCAUUGGUCAGGAAGGUGACCAAAAACCUGAUGGUCACUGACAGAGCUCCAGUGUUCCUCUGUGGAAAGGGGAGAACCUUUCAGAAGGAGAACCAUCUCUGCAGCACCAAACAGUACUUUAUGGUAGACUGAACAGACGGAAGGCACUCCUCAGUAAUAGGCACAUGACAGCCUGCUUGGAGUUUGCCAAAAGGCACCCACAGGACUCUCAGACCAUGAGAAAAAAAAUAUUUAAAUCUUGGUUUCAUCAGACCAGACAAUCUUUGCGGAUUAUAUAUAAGUUGUCAUUUUACUUUUGGCUUUUUGUGGGAUCUUGUUUCUGUCUGACAGAACUGUGUGCUUUCAUUUUUUUGUCUUUGUUAUUUUGCUUGGUGUCAUCAAUAAAAAUACGAUGCACUCCUACCCCGCUGCGCCUUGGUUUCCUUCUCCCAACGAGAGCCGUUACAGGAGAGAUCUGAAAAUAGCUUGCAGCGACGCUCUCCAUGCAACCUGACAGCUUGUGAGGAUCUGCAGAAAAGAAUGGGAGAUACUCCCCAAAUACAGGUGUGCCAAGCUUGUAGCAUCUUAGCCAAGAACGCUCGAGGCUGUAAUCGCUGCCAAAGGUGCUUCAAAGUAAUAAGUAAAGAUUCUGAAUAUUUAUUUACAUUUACGUCAUUUAGCAGACGCUCUUAUCCAGAGCGACUUACAAAUUGGUGCAUUCACCUUAUGACAUCCAGUAGAAUAGUCACUUUACAAUAGUGCAUCUAAAUCUUAAAGGGGGGGGAGAAGGAUUACUUAUCCUAUCCUAUUUAUGUAAAUGUUAUUUCAUUUGUACUUUAAUAAAUUUGCAAACAUCUCUAAAAAUCUGUUUUUGAUUUGUCAUUAUGGGGUAGUGUGUAGAUUGAUGAGGGAAUUUGAUACAUUUUAAGAAUAAGGCUGUAAUGUAACAAAAUUUGGAAAACGUCAACCAGUCUGAAAACUUUCCGAAUGCACUAUAUGGGUCUAAAAAGGGCCACUUUCAUAAUAAAUGGUUUGUGAUUCUAAUGUAAAACCCAUUUAAACAUUCUGUCUCCCAAUUGUUGCUAUGUGAGAAUUACCAGAACAAUGAGAUACCAAAAACAUUUUCCACUCCUGCUGGCGUAGAAUCGGCCCAUUGACUAGUUGAGUUGUGUGUUCUGUAUUCCUCCCAGGGAGAACAGCCCUCAGCUGGUGUAUAUAAUCCUAGCGGGGUGGACCUGUAGCAUUUUACAGUUUCCUCAAUCUGGCUGAUGGGUCUACAUUUAAUUUUAAUAUCUGCAGUGAACUUAACUCUCCUCGACACCGGCUAUGGAGAUCUGUUCGAAUGUCGAGGCUCAUAUUCUUUAGGGUGAAUUACAGAUUUGAUGAUUUUUACAUGCGGGUGCCAAGACUUUCAUGGUGGGUUUGAGGGUAUAUGAGCGGCACAGCCAUAAUCAUAGACAGCAUUAUGGAUGUCACAUCUAUGAAGGUAAACCUUAAGAUUUCUGUUGUAGACAUUUAACUGCAGAAAGCCUCCCCCACAGCCCCACCUACUUUAUCAAGUUCUCUUUGUAGCAUGACUGUGGCCAGAAAAGACUCACCCAAUAAGGGAUAUGUUUAUUUGGCUAACGAGACAAACCAGCACUAUCGUAGCCAAGUUGCAAAACAAACAGCUGAGCUGAUUUGUGUGCUUAACACCACUUCCUACACAAACUACUGGAUCUCAAAGAUAAUAGGAAGAUGCAACACUUAAAGAUGCACUCCGGGAUCCAUAUUCAUAACAUAUGUAAAUUGAAAAAUGUGUAUCCUACAAAUUGCAAAGAUCGUAACAUAUCACAUGAAAUGGCUGACAUGGUAAUAUACUAUUGGAUGAAGUUAACAAAAAACAGGGAUCACUUUUGGCUCGUGAACAACACUAACUACUAGCUGAAAUAAUGUAAAAGCUAGAUUGCAUCUUAAAGGGAUAGUUUGGAAUUUUGGCAACUUCCCUUGAGCUAGUUAGUAAUUGCGCCAAUUCUUGGUAGCAACUUCCUUCAAGCUAAAUGCAGAUACAUAAAAUGGUAUCCACGAGUUCAUCUGACUCUGGGUAGAUAAAGGGCUUCAUUACCAAAAUUCCAAGUGAUCCCUUUAAUCUCCCACAAACUUCAGUGUUCUUUCAAAUGGUAUCAAGAAUAUGCAUAUCCUUGCUUCAGGUCUUGAGCUACAGGCAGUUAGAGUUGGGUAUGUAAUUUUAAGCAAACAUUUUAAAGGGGCAGAUCCUUGAGAGGUUUUAAAGGACUUACUCAAAGUGAUUCGGUUUCAUCAGUCAGCUUUAAACAGAUUAAGGCCCACUUCUUCAGUUCCUCAUUGCUUGGCUGAUGGAGUAAGCUAUUGUCAGGCAAACUACCAAUAACGCAAACUUCCUGAAAUCCAUUAUAGCCGUGUGGCUAAAUAAUUCUGGGUUGAGGAUCAUUAAGAGUUCAUUACGGCCUCCUUUAUUCUAAGAAAGUACCUACCCCAAUCUACUGAAUUAUUCACAACCUGAAAGGAUGUACAAUAAGUGGAUAAGAAACCAUCCACUCAUAGCAUAGUGAGAAUGCACUUACAAGAUGCAAUUGUAAGUUUCCACAAUAAUUGAAGAAUAGGGGUAGGGUGGUAGAGAAUCGACAGACCAUGAAUGUAAUAAGAAAUCUUAGGUGCUGGAUCAAGGCUGAUAGAUUCUACUACAAAAUGUCAGUUCAGAACAAGGUUGAGGCAGGUGGUCAGGUUAAGGGGAGUUUAAUGGAAGAUGUCCACAUUCACUGUUCAGAUAACUGAGAAUCAUGUCCAGGGAGUACUGACAUUAACAAUGUGGUCCUGAAAGGAAAGAGAAGGAACUUAGGCUAUAGCACUGCUAUAAUGUGAAUUACAUGACUUACUGUUUCAUAUUUUUGUAUAACGUACUUUAAGACUACUGAAACCCCACCCGAUGUGGUGGAAGUUGUCUAACCAGAUCAGAACGCCUUCGAGGACCACCUUCAGGAAGGUACUGAGAACGAUGGAGGUUUUUGAACAGGGGAGACUGAACGUUGACAAGGCGUAGGAGAGCUACCGGAGCAGAAUCAAGAAGGGGACAAAGUGCCACGACAUCCGGAAUAAUUACUUAGCUUGGAAGGCGAGACCUGGGACACCUCUCUGCUGUCGCUCCUAUCUGGGUUCACCAUCUGUUAAGGGCCUAGGGGUUCUGCCCAACACCCAGACGUGGAUCCACCUGAUGUCCUCCAUUAACAACACUCCAACUUUUCAUUACAUCACCUGCAGCUACUGUUAUUGUCAUGUUGUCAUUAUCUGCUAAGAAAGCUUUCUUGCUCUAUCAUACUGGGCACAUAAUGCGAGAUACACAGAUUAACUAAAAACACUAGCAUUGCAAACACUCAGAUCAAAGAAAGCAGCAGUGCCUGGACUUUGCAGUCUCCCUCUUCAAGUCCCCCUUCCGAGACUGGCUACCUGUUGAGAACAAGUGACAGGCAGAACCUCCCACCCACACAGCAAGCACCUCAAUAUUCCACACACCAGAAUUCAGUAUUUUAGUCCAUUAUUGCCAUGUGAGUGUACAAAAAAAAUAAAAUCUGAAAAUGACACAACUGUACCAAAAAAUAUAAAGUUUGUGUUAAAAUCUUAA